rnacentral:rRNA from 1 species
CGAAGGGUGCAAGCGUUACUCGGAAUUACUGGGCGUAAAGCGUGCGUAGGUGGUGAGUUAAGUCUGUCGUGAAAGCCCCGGGCUCAACCUGGGAAUGGCAAUGGAUACUGGCUCGCUAGAGUGCGGUAGAGGAGAGUGGAAUUCCCGGUGUAGCAGUGAAAUGCGUAGAGAUCGGGAGGAACAUCAGUUGCGAAGGCGGCUCUCUGGACCAGCACUGACACUGAGGCACGAAAGCGUGGGGAGCAAACAGGAUUAGAUACCCUGGUAGUCCACGCCCUAAACGAUGCGAACUGGACGUUGGGAGCAAUUAGGCUCUCAGUGUCGAAGCUAACGCGUUAAGUUCGCCGCCUGGGGAGUACGGUCGCAAGACUG